AGCUUAUUUCCAGCUGGCGAAAGGAAGAGCCUGGUUUCUCCAGUUUUGUUCUCCUCCGGGAGUGCGCUGGAAAAGCAUGCUCCAGGCUUCCAGUUGGCUUUAGUCCAGGCGAAGCAGAGCGCUCAGGCGCCGAGUCCUCCAAGCUCACAGCUGCUUGGGCCGCGGCGCGCCCCCACCACCCCGGGUUUCUAGAGCCUUGUGACAGCGCCUCACUCCGAGCUGCUCAGCGGCUUUCUGCAACCCUCUCUCUGCCUCGCCCCCAGUAUGUGACGUGGGUGACAAUGGCCCAGGUUGGAGCGAGCCCCACGUCGGCGCGUCCUGGGUGGUCGGACCCGGGCAAACACAAAUACAAACCGAUUGCUAAGCUGCGGACAAUGAGGGAAAUGUAGACAAAUGUCCCGCUCCCGUUGGAAGCCUUUGUCCAGGCCCGGUUUUUGCAUUUAUUUCAGUGGCGAAAUAAUACAUGAUUGACGCUC
rnacentral:lncRNA from 1 species